UACGUAGGGUGCAAGCGUUGUCCGGAAUUAUUGGGCGUAAAGAGCGUGUAGGCGGCCUUACAGGUCAGCUGUGAAAACUCGAGGCUCAACCUCGAGACGUCGGUUGAAACCGUAUGGCUAGAGUCCGGAAGAGGAGAGUGGAAUUCCCGGUGUAGCGGUGAAAUGCGCAGAUAUCAGGAGGAACACCAAUGGCGAAGGCAGCUCGCUGGGACGUGACUGACGCUGAGGUGCGAAAGGCGUGGGGAGCAAACAGG
rnacentral:rRNA from 1 species